CCUGGCUCAGGAUGAACGCUAGCGACAGGCCUAACACAUGCAAGUCGAGGGGCAGCGAGAGGAAAGCUUGCUUUCUUGUCGGCGACCGGCGCACGGGUGCGUAACGGGUGUGCAAUCUGCCCAUAAUCGGGGCAUAGCCUAACGAAAGUUGGAUUAAUUCCCCAUGUGCUAUGGAGAGGCAUCUCUUCAUAGUGAAACGUAAGGAUUAUGGUUGAGCACGCUUCUGAUUAGAUAGUUGGUGAGGUAACGGCUCACCAAGUCGACGAUCAGUAGGGGUUCUGAGAGGAAGGUCCCCCACAUUGGAACUGAGACACGGUCCAAACUCCUACGGGAGGCAGCAGUGAGGAAUAUUGGUCAAUGGACGAGAGUCUGAAUCAGCCAAGUCGCGUGAAGGAAAAGACGGUUCUAUGGAUUGUAAACUUCUUUUGCACAAGAGUAAAGUGUGGUACGUGUACCAUAUUGCAAGUAUUGUGUGAAUAAGCAUCGGCUAACUCCGUGCCAGCCGCGGC
rnacentral:rRNA from 1 species